AUUGAACGCUGGCGGCAGGCCUAACACAUGCAAGUCGAACGGUAACAGGAAGAAGCUUGCUUCUUUGCUGACGAGUGGCGGACGGGUGAGUAAUGUCUGGGAAACUGCCUGAUGGAGGGGGAUAACUACUGGAAACGGUAGCUAAUACCGCAUAACGUCGCAAGACCAAAGAGGGGGACCUUCGGGCCUCUUGCCAUCGGAUGUGCCCAGAUGGGAUUAGCUAGUAGGUGGGGUAACGGCUCACCUAGUCGACGAUCCCUAGCUGGUCUGAGAGGAUGACCAGCCACACUGGAACUGAGACACGGUCCAGACUCCUACGGGAGGCAGCAGUGGGGAAUAUUGCACAAUGGGCGCAAGCCUGAUGCAGCCAUGCCGCGUGUAUGAAGAAGGCCUUCGGGUUGUAAAGUACUUUCAGCGGGGAGGAAGGGAGUAAAGUUAAUACCUUUGCUCAUUGACGUUACCCGCAGAAGAAGCACCGGCUAACUCCGU
rnacentral:rRNA from 1 species